rnacentral:rRNA from 1 species
AUUGAACGCUGGCGGCAUGCUUUACACAUGCAAGUCGAACGGUAACAGGUCUUUCGGGAUGCUGACGAGUGGCGAACGGGUGAGUAAUGUAUCGGAACGUGCCCAGUAGUGGGGGAUAACUACUCGAAAGAGUGGCUAAUACCGCAUGAGAUCUCUGGAUGAAAGCGGGGGACCGUAAGGCCUCGCGCUACUGGAGCGGCCGAUAUCAGAUUAGGUUGUUGGUGAGGUAAAGGCUCACCAAGCCGACGAUCUGUAGCUGGUCUGAGAGGACGACCAGCCACACUGGGACUGAGACACGGCCCAGACUCCUACGGGAGGCAGCAGUAGGGAAUAUUGGACAAUGGGGGAACCCUGAUCCAGCCAUGCCGCGUGAGGGAAGAAGGUCCUCUGGAUUGUAAACCUCUUUUGGCAGGAAACAAACCUGCGCUAUACGCGCAGCUGAGGGUACCUGCAGAAUAAGCACCGGCUAACUCCGUGCCAGCAGCC